rnacentral:rRNA from 1 species
CGUAAGAACCUUACCAGGUCUUGACAUCCCCCGCGAUGCUUUAGAGAUAAAGCGGAGGUAUUCGGGGAGACAGGUGGUGCAUGGUUGUCGUCAGCUCGUGUCGUGAGAUGUUGGGUUAAGUCCCGCAACGAGCGCAACCCCUAUUGCUAGUUACCAUCAUUAAGUUGGGGACUCUAGCGAGACUGCCAGUGAUAAACUGGAGGAAGGUGGGGAUGACGUCAAAUCAUCAUGCCCCUUAUGACCUGGGCUACAAACGUGAUACAAUGGCUGGAACAAAGGGAUGCGAAGCAGUGAUGUGGAGCGAAACCCAUAAAAACAGUCUCAGUUCGGAUUGAAGUCUGCAACUCGACUUCAUGAAGUCGGAAUCGCUAGUAAUCGCGGAUCAGAACGCCGCGGUGAAUACGUUCUCGGGGUUU